rnacentral:rRNA from 1 species
CGUCUCAAAGAUUAAAGCCAUGCAUGUGUAAGUGUAAAUAUCAAAGUUUGGAACUGCGAAUGGCUCAUUAUAUCAGUUCCUAGUUUCUUUCGGUGAAGUCGUACUACUUCGGAUAACCGUAGUAAUUCCUAGGGCUAAUACAUGAGAAAGUCCUCUGGUGAGGUGUGUUUAUUAGAAUGAAAACCAUAUGCUUCGGCAUGAUAGUGAGUAAUAGUAACCUAUCGUAUCGCAUGCUUAAUGUAGCGAUGAGUCUUUCAAGUUUCUGCCCUAUCAGCUUUCGAUGGUAGUAUAUGGGCCUACCAUGGCAGUAACGGGUAACGAAGAAUUUGGGUUCGAUUUCGGAGAGGGAGCCUGAGAGAUGGCUACCACAUCCAAGGAAGGCAGCAGGCGCGUAAAUUACCCAAUCCUGACACCAAGGGAGGUAGUGACAAUAAAUCACAAUGCGGGACUAUACGUCUUGCAAUUGGAUUGAGAACAAUGUACAACUCUUAUCGAUUGAA